CAUAUUAUGUUAAGACGAGUAACAAGAAACCCUUCUCUUAAAUGGAAGUGUAACUAAAAUUUAACCCUUGAACAAAAUGUAGCAACACCCUAUGAAAACACUACUCCUUCAACUGUUAACCUAACACUAGACCACUCCAAGAAAGAUUACAAGAAAAAGAAGGAACUCGGCAAAUCUCAACUCCGCCUGUUUACCAAAAACAUCGCCUCUUGCACCUUAUAAGAGGUCCUGUCUGCCCAGUGAACUAUUCAACGGCCGCGGUACCCUGACCGUGCAAAGGUAGCGUAAUCAUUUGUUUUCUAAUUAAAGACCUGUAUGAAUGACCCCACGAGAGUCGUACUGUCUCCUCUCUCCAAUCAGUGAAACUAAUCUCCUCGUCCAAAAGCGAGAAUUAUCCUAUUAGACGAAAAGACCCUGUGGAGCUAAAACUACCUAGCAAUUGUCCUAUAACCCCUUCUCCUACUCUUUGAACAAAAUGACUUCUAGUUUUUGGUUGGGGCGACCCUGGAGAAAAACAAAUCCUCCAAGAUGAAUUAGAAUUUCCUUUAACUUUAAGUUACAACUUUAAGUACCAGAAUACUGACAUCAUUGACCCUUCCUGAUCAACGAACCUAGUUACCCCAGGGAUAACAGCGCAAUCUUCUUCGAGAGUACAUAUCGACCAGCU
rnacentral:rRNA from 1 species